GGAGAGGUGGCCGAGUGGCUGAAGGCGGCGGUUUGCUAAAUCGUUGAAGGGGGAAACCCUUUCCGGGGGUUCGAAUCCCUUCCUCUCCGCCA
rnacentral:tRNA from 2 species